GAGAGCAUAACUCAACCGGUUAGAGUGAAAAACUUUUAAUUUUUUGGUGUGGGUUCGAGUCCCGCUGCUCUUG
rnacentral:tRNA from 1 species